GGGCGAUUAGCUCAGUUGGUAGAGCAGCGCUUUUACACAGCGAAGGUCGGGGGUUCAAAUCCCUCAUCGCCCACAA
rnacentral:tRNA from 3 species